UACGUAGGGUGCAAGCGUUGUCCGGAAUUAUUGGGCGUAAAGAGCUCGUAGGCGGUCUGUCACGUCGGCUGUGAAAACCCGGGGCUCAACCCCGGGCCUGCAGUCGAUACGGGCAGACUAGAGUGCGGUAGGGGAGACUGGAAUUCCUGGUGUAGCGGUGAAAUGCGCAGAUAUCAGGAAGAACACCCGUGGCGAAGGCGGCUCUCUGGUACGUGACUGACGCUGAGACGCGAAAGCGUGGGGAGCAAACAGG
rnacentral:rRNA from 1 species